CUCAGUCACUGAGUCGCCGACUCGUCCACCGAUCUCCGAGGACGGACGGAGUCCACGAUUCCGGCUCCGGGAACUCGUUCCUGAGGUGGACCACCAGCUCAAUGCAUUCUCCCCAGUGCCAGUGCGCUGCCGCGAUUCAUCUUGAAACAGAGGGCGGGAGGAAGAAGUGUCUUUUCGACGGGCCGGAGCCAAUCUCGCCGGAUCGAACCGCUCUCCUCCGAUCCCGGAGAAGGUGGCGGAGGAAGAGGAGGAUGAUCUGGCGGUGAAAUGGUGCGAUCUUGGAAUGUCGGUGCUGGCUGGGCUAGCGGGGCAGAUGGAGUACUCAGGCGGCGGGACGGGAAAGGGAAAGAAUGUCGGCCGAGGCAGGAGGGGCGGAGACGGCGAUCAUGACGACAACAGAAGGAUCUCGGAUUACUACCAGCAGAUGUUGGAGACCGACUCUGCUAAUCCGCUCCUCUUGAGAAACUACGGGAGAUUCCUUCACGAGGUGAGAGGGAUCGAAUUCCUCAAAAAUUCGAGAUUCGAUUGCGAUUAUUCAAAAUGGGGCAGAAAAUAAAUUCCUACUUCGAGCUCGCCGUCAAAGCAUCGCCGGACGACUGCUACGUGCUAGGUUCUUACGCGCAGUUCCUAUGGGACGCCGUCGAGGAGGACGAAGAAGAGGCACCGCCGGUGGCGAGAACGGAGUCAUCCUCACCAUCAGUGGAAGCAUUUUGAUGGAGAAUGUACAAAAGCAAUAGUAAUAUUGUCGUCAUAAUUCUAAGUACGACUACGAGAAGCAGAACGAUGAGGAAACAGAUCGUCAGCAGAGGAUGCUGAUGACAAAUCUUGAGAAACUGGUAAAGUUGUGGAAGAUUUCACGCCAGUUCGGAUCAUCAUCUUGCUUUUGGUAUCAGUAGAUGAGUUGAUCUUGUACGGCAUGUCAAAAGAGAAGUUGGAAAGUUAGAGCAGUCAAAAAAAAAAUUCUCAAACUUCUCGUGUUGAUCUAGUACAUGAGCUGCUUGAGCUCGAGCAAGUCAUCAAUACACACGUCUGCAGUGCAGCUCUCUGAUCAGCUACCUCGUGAAGAGAAAAAGUUAUUGCCUCAGACCAGCCAUGAGAAAGAAAUUAAUCACGCAUUGUGAAUGAACUCUCAACUAAUUUGUCAGUUGCAAGUCAAACGGCAACUGAGGAUUUAAUCCAAUCCUGAGGAUGAAUGUGGAUAGUCAAGCGGCAAAUCAGAAGCAAGGAGAAGUAUCUAGGGACAAAAGUAAAAUGAGAGGGCAAGUAUAGUUUCAAUUCAUGUCCCAUAUAUGAAUAUGGGAUAUCAAAUGUGUUGUUGAAUUGUGUGGUUUUUCUAGACUACAAUGAGGAGUGUUGCUCA